CCCUCCAAAAUCUCAAAAUUCUGAAGUAGCUUAAGCUAUAAAUAUAGGCAAACUUUGUUAUUGAUUGGCAUAAGUAAGGAGCACAUGGCCAAGACUCCAAAAUCUGUUUAUAUCCUUCUUAUAUCCCUUAUCUUCAUCUUCAUUACAAGUGUGGCAAUAGAAGAGAUUUCCCAAAAAUAUUGUUGGCGUUUGAGCAAAACAUGGCAUAAAACAUGUCGAUGGACGCUACUCUGUGACCAAAAAUGCACAAAAUUGGAGCAUGCGGAUUACGGAGCAUGCAGGAAGUCUUCUUCGUGGUCAAUUAGUCAUAAAUGUUACUGCCUCUUCAAGUGCUGAAUAUGAGAUGUGAUACGUUUACGAUCUUUGUACAACUCCUGUCCAACCUUUUUUCAAACUAAUCAUUGAAUGUAUUUUUUUACAUAUGAAUCUUAAAUAUUUAAUAAUUGAUUUAAAAAUAAACAAUAAAAGAAUUGUUGAAAUUGGAUAGGAAUAAUACAAAAGUUAUAAACGUAUUAUAUCAUAUCUCGUUGAUUAUGGGCAAUUUGAAACAGGGGAGAAUGGGUUGUUUUUAGAGCAAUAAAAGAGAUUCCCCAGAAAUAUUGCUCGCGUUUGAGCACAACAUGGCAUAAAACAUGUCGAUGGACGUCACACUGUGACAAAAAAUGCAAAGAAUUGGAGCAUGCGGAUUACGGAGAAUGCAAGCUGGCUUCUUAUCGGUCCUUCAGUGAGAAAUGUUAUUGCAUCUUCAAGUGUUGAGUAUGAGAUAUGAUAUGUUUACAAUUUUUGUACAACUUUCGUCCAACCUUUUUUCAAACUAAUCAUUGGAUUUGUUUUCUUACAUAUGAGUCAUAUAUAUCCAAUAAUUGAUUUAUAUAUUUUUUUUUUUGAAUAAAUAAAUUAUCAGAAUUAGAUAGAAGUUGUACAGAAGUUGUGAACACAUCAUAUCUCAUUGAUUAUAGGCAAUUUGAAACAAUGGAGAAUGGGUUGUUUUUGGAGGUACUAUGUGAGUUUUCCAUAUGUGCGUUUUAAGAUGCUUGUGGUCGUUGUUUUAUCUUGUACUGUUUGUUCUUUCGGAUAAAUAUAUUUUCAACUUACUUGUUUCAUCCAUAUAUGUAAAGGAAAUUUGGGGGUU